rnacentral:rRNA from 1 species
GAAGGCCUGCGGGUAUGUAAAGCACUUUCAGUCUUGGGAAGAAAAGCUUUUAGAUUAAUACUCUAAAAUUAUUGACGUUACCAAGUCAGAAGAAGCACCCGGCUAACUCUGUGCCAGCAGCCGCGAGUAAUACAGAGGUCGUGCGAGCGUUCAAUCGGAAUUACUGGGCGUAAAGCGUACGAUAGGUGGCUAUCAAUAAGUCGCGAUGUGAAAGCCCAAGGCUUAACCUUGGAAUGAGCAUUAGAUUCACUGUUUACGAUAGAGUACAGUAGAGGGAAGCGGAAUUCCUAGUAGUAGCGGCUUGAAACUGCGUAGAUAUUAGGAGGAACACCAGUGGCGAAGGCGGCUAUUCU